GACGAACGCUGGCGGCGUGCCUAACACAUGCAAGUCGAACGGGGUAAUGACUUCGGUUAUUACUUAGUGGCGAACGGGUGAGUAACGCGUGAGAAACCUGCCUUUCAGUGGGGGACGAACAGUUGGAAACGACUGCUAAUACCGCAUAAUGUUAUUUGAGGGCAUCCUCGAAUAACCAAAGCUUUAUGUGCUGAAAGAUGGUCUCGCGUCUGAUUAGAUAGUUGGUGAGGUAACGGCUCACCAAGUCGACGAUCCAUAGCCGGACUGAGAGGUUGAACGGCCACAUUGGAACUGAGAAACGGUCCAGACUCCUACGGGAGGCAGCAGUGGGGAAUCUUCCGCAAUGGACGAAAGUCUGACGGAGCAAUGCCGCGUGAGUGAUGAAGGUUUUCGGACCGUAAAGCUCUUUUGUUUAUGACGAAUGUGCAUGAUGUGAAUAAUGUUGUGUAAUGACGGUAGUAAACGAAUAAGCCACGGCUAACUACGUGCCAGCAGCCG
rnacentral:rRNA from 1 species